AACCUCCGCAAUGUGAGAAAUCGCGACGGGGGGAUCCCAAGUGCCAUUCUUAACGGGAUGGCUUUUCAUUAGUGUAAAGAGCUUUUGGAAUAAGGGCUGGGCAAGACCGGUGCCAGCCGCCGCGGUAACACCGGCAGCUCUAGUGGUAGCAGUUUUUAUUGGGCCUAAAGCGUCCGUAGCCGGUUUAAUAAGUCUCUGGUGAAAUCCUGUAGCUUAACUGUGGGAAUUGCUGGAGAUACUAUUAGACUUGAGACCGGGAGAGGUUAGAGGUACUCCCAGGGUAGAGGUGAAAUUCUGUAAUCCUGGGAGGACCGCCUGUUGCGAAGGCGUCUAACUGGAACGGUUCUGACGGUGAGGGACGAAAGUUAGGGGCGCGAACCGGAUUAGGUACCCGGGUAGUCCUAACUGUAAACGAUGCGGACUUGGUGUUGGGGUGGCUUUGAGCUGCUCCAGUGCCGAAGGGAGCUGUUAAGUCCGCCGCCUGGGAAGUACGGUCGCAAGACUAGAAACUUAAGGAAUU
rnacentral:rRNA from 1 species